UGCAUGUACCAUAACCGACACAGGUGGGUAGGUAGAGUAUACUAAGGGGCGCGAGAUAACUCUCUCUAAGGAACUCGGCAAAAUGACUCCGUAACUUCGGGAGAAGGAGUGCCUUAUUUAUAAGGUUGCAAUAACAAGAUCCAAGCAACUGUUUAUCAAAAACACAGGUCUCCACUAAGUCGUAAGACGAUGUAUGGGGGCUGACGCCUGCCCAGUGCCAGAAGGUUAAAGAAGUUGGUUAGUGUAUGCGAAGCUGAUGACUGAAGCCCUGGUGAACGGCGGCCGUAACAAUAACGGUCCUAAGGUAGCGAAAUUCCUUGUCGGGUAAGUUCCGACCCGCACGAAAGGCGUAAUGAUUUGGAUACUGUCUCGGAGAGAGGCUCGGUGAAAUAGACUUGUCUGUGAAUAUGCGGACUACCUGCACCAGGACAGAAAGACCCUAUGAAGCUUUACUGUAACUUGAAAUUGGAAUUGGACUUUGCUUGCGCAGUAUAGGUGGGAAGCGUUGAAGAUAUUCUUGCGGGAGUAUUGGAGCUAUCAGUGAGAUACCACUCUUGUAAUGUUAGAUUUCUAACUUUGAACCAUAAUCUGGUCAAAGAACAGUUUCAGGUGGGCAGUUUGACUGGGGCGGUCGCCUCCCAAAUGGUAACGGAGGCGUACAAAGGUUUCCUCUGAACGGAUAGAAAUCGUAUCUAGAGUGUAAAGGCAUAAGGAAGCUUGACUGUGAGACCUACAAGUCGAGCAGGGACGAAAGUCGGUCUUAGUGAUCUGACGGUACUGAGUGGAAAGGCCGUCACUCAACGGAUAAAAGUUACUCUAAGGAUAACAGGCUGAUCUCCCCCAAGAGUUCACAUCGACGGGGAGGUUUGGCACCUCGAUGUCGGCUCAUCGCAUCCUGGGGCGGUAGUACGUCCCAAGGGUUGGGCUGUUCGCCCAUGAAAGCGGUACGCGAGCUGGGUUCAGAACGUCGUGAGACAGUUCGGUCCAUAUCCGGUGUAGGCGUUAGAAUAUUGAGAGGAGCCUUCUUUAGUACGAGAGGACCGAGAAGGACACACCGCUGGUGUACCAGUUAUCGUGCCAACGGUAAACGCUGGGUAGCUAUGUGUGGAGUGGAUAACCGCUGAAAGCAUCUAAGUGGGAAGCCCACCUCAAGAUGAGUAUUCUCAUCACUAUAAGUGAGUAAGGUCACGGUAAGACUAACCGUUUGAUAGGCAUUAAGUGUAAAUGUAGUAAUGCAUGUGCUGAGAUGUCCUAACAGACCGAGGAC
rnacentral:rRNA from 1 species